rnacentral:rRNA from 1 species
GGCCUACCAUGGUGGUAACGGGUAACGGGGUGUUAGGGCACGACACCGGAGAGGGAGCCUGAGAAACGGCUACCACAUCCAAGGAUGGCAGCAGGCGCGCAAAUUACCCAAUCCCGACACGGGGAGGUAGUGACAAUAAAUAACAAUACGGGGUUCUUUCGGAUCUCGUAAUUGGAAUGAGUACAAUUUAAAUCUCUUAACGAGGAACAAUUGGAGGGCAAGUCUGGUGCCAGCAGCCGCGGUAAUUCCAGCUCCAAUAGCGUAUAUUAAAGUUGUUGCAGUUAAAAAGCUCGUAGUUGAAUUUCGGGGUUAGUAGGCUGGUCAUGCCUCUGGUAUGUACUGGUCUCACUGAUUCCUCCUUCCUGAUGAACCGUAAUGCCAUUAAUUUGGUGUUGCGGGGAAUUUGGACUGUUACUUUGAAAAAAUUAGAGUGUUUAAAGCAAGCUAACGCUUGAAUACAUUAGCAUGGAAUAAUGAAAUAGGACGUUCGAUCCUAUUUUGUUGGUUUCUAGGAUUGACGUAAUGAUUAAUAGGGAUAGUUGGGGGCAUUAGUAUUCAAUUGUCAGAGGUGAAAUUCUUGGGUUUAUUGAAGACUAACUACUGCGAAAGCAUUUGCCAAGGAUGUUUUCAUUAAUCAAGAACGAAAGUUAGGGGAUCGAAGACGAUCAGAUACCGUCGUAGUCUUAACCAUAAACUAUGCCGACUAGGGAUCGGAUGAUGUUAAUUUUUUAAUGACUCAUUCGGCGCCUUACGGGAAACCAAAGUGUUUGGGUUC